CCUAGUCCUUCACAGCGCGAGUAAAUCGCGUGUACGCACCUCCACGUCUGAUCUCGCGCGAUUCGGUACAUAAAAUAUCGAAGUUUUCGCAAAAAAUACCAUUUUGCCACUAUAGACCCCUCCUCGAUCAACGUGUGACAUCUAGCGAUCCGUCCGUCAGAUUUGCGAACGGAUCGCACCAGUGUGAUCAGCACAACGGAGACAAUAAACCUACCAUUUCGUUUCGCCACGAUCGAUCACGGAUUUGCGACGAAACCCGUUCACUCUCUCCAACAGACAAGUGACACACAAAUACAUAUAAAACAUGUAUUUUUUUCGAUUUUCUCAAAAUCCGUGCUUCAAACCCAAAAUCCGUUAGCGCCAAUA
rnacentral:lncRNA from 1 species